UGCGGACAUAUCAUAACGAAGAGGUAUCGUAAUUGAAGAGGUUUGGAAAGACCCACCACAGAAGGUAAUAGUCCUGUAUGUUAAACGAGAAGACUUUAGAUAUGAUCCAGAGUACCACGGGACACGUGAAACCCUGUGGGAAGCAGGAGGGACCACCCUCCAAGGCUAAAUACUACCUAGUGACCGAUAGCGUAUAGUACCGUGAGGGAAAGGUGAAAAGAACCCCGGGAGGGGAGUGAAAUAGAACCUGAAACCCUGCACUUACAAGCUGUGGAAGCACAUUUCUUGUGUGACCGCGUACUUUUUGUAGAACGGGCCAACGAGUUACGUUAAGUAGCAAGGUUAAGCACUUAAGGUGCGGAGCCGUAGCGAAAGCGAGUUUUAACUGAGCGUUCAGUUACUUGACGUAGACCCGAAACCGGGCGACCUACCCAUGAGCAGGAUGAAGCGAAAGUAAAAUUUCGUGGAGGUCCGAACCCACGAGCGUUGAAAAGCUCGGGGAUGACUUGUGGGUAGCGGUGAAAUUCCAAUCGAGCCCGGAGAUAGCUGGUUCUCCCCGAAAUAGCUUUAGGGCUAGCCUCAAGGUGAGAGAUACGGAGGUAGAGCACUGAAUGUCCUAGGGGGUAUUGCACCUACCGAAGACUAUCAAACUCCGAAUGCCGUCAUCUUAUACUUGGGAGUCAGACUGUGGGUGAUAAGAUUCAUAGUCGAAAGGGCAACAGCCCAGAUCGUCAGCUAAGGUCCCUAAAUGUAAGUUAAGUGGUAAAGGAUGUGGGAUUGCACAGACAACCAGGAUGUUGGCUUAGAAGCAGCCACUCAUUCAAAGAGUGCGUAAUAGCUCACUGGUCGAGUGAUCCUGCGCCGAAGAUUUCCGGGGCUAAAACUUACUACCGAAGCUACGGCAUCAGUAAUGAUGGGUAGGGGAGCUUCCCAUACGGGUUGAAGCAUGACCGUAAGGACAUGUGGACAGUAUGGGAGUGAGAAUGUUGGCAUGAGUAGCGAGAUGUGGGUGAGAAUCCCACAGGCCGUAAACCCAAGGUUUCCAGGGGAAGGUUCGUCCGCCCUGGGUUAGUCGGGACCUAAGCUGAGGCCGAAAGGCGUAGGUGAUGGACAACAGGUUGAUAUUCCUGUACUACCGAUAACCGUUUGAGAGAAGGGAUGACACAGUAGGAUAAGCUAAGCACACUGUUGGUUAUGUGUGCCCAAGCAUUGAGGCAGUCAAAGUAGGCAAAUCCGCUUUGAUAAUGCUGGGAUGUGAUGGGGAGCGAAAUUUAGUAGCGAAGUAGCUGAUUUCACACUGUCAAGAAAAGUCUCUAUCGAGGUUAAAGGUACCCGUACCGCAAACCGACACAGGUGGGUGAGGAGAGUAUCCUAAGGCCAGCGAGAGAACUGUUGUUAAGGAACUCGGCAAAAUGACCCCGUAACUUAGGGAUAAGGGGUGCCACCAUCAGGUGGCCGCAGAGAAUAGGCCCAAGCGACUGUUUACCAAAAACAUAGGUUUCUGCUAAGUCGCAAGACGAUGUAUAGGAGCUGACGCCUGCCCGGUGCUGGAAGGUUAAGGGGAUCUGUUAGAGCAAUCGAAGCAGUGAACUUAAGCCCCAGUAAACGGCGGCCGUAACUAUAACGGUCCUAAGGUAGCGAAAUUCCUUGUCGGGUAAGUUCCGACCCGCACGAAAGGCGUAACGAUUUGGGCACUGUCUCAACAACAGACUCGGUGAAAUUGUAAUUCCGGUGAAGAUGCCGGAUACCUGCGACAGGACGGAAAGACCCCAUGGAGCUUUACUGUAGCUUGACAUUGGGUCUUGGUACUACAUGUACAGGAUAGGUGGGAGGCUUUGAAACCAGGACGCCAGUUUUGGCGGAGCCAUCCUUGGGAUACCACCCUUGUAGUACUGGGACUCUAACCAUAGGCCAUGAAUCUGGUCUUGGGACACUGUCAGGUGGGCAGUUUGACUGGGGCGGUCGCCUCCCAAAAGG
rnacentral:rRNA from 1 species